rnacentral:misc_RNA from 1 species
UCUCCGUUGGUGAACCAGCGGAGGGAUCAUUACCGAGUUUACAACUCCCAAACCCAAUGUGAACCAUACCAGACUGUUGCCUCGGCGGGGUCACGCCCCGGGUGCGUCGCAGCCCCGGAACCAGGCGCCCGCCGGAGGGACCAACCAAACUCUUUCUGUAGUCCCCUCGCGGACGUUACUUUACAGCUCUGAGCAAAAAUUCAAAAUGAAUCAAAACUUUCAACAACGGAUCUCUUGGUUCUG